rnacentral:lncRNA from 1 species
ACGUAUCAAAACCUCUGUACACCUCUCUUUUAUUUUCUUUUCAGACCCUAUUCCUCAUUCUCUUCAUCUCCUUAAUCCGCAAAUAUAAUCCCUCAUUCCUUUUCUUUUCUUGAAUCACCGUCCUCCUCCACUGUUCGGAAUCCGGCACCGCCGAACCUCCUCGCUUGUCUCCGCGGCUAUCAAAUCGCCACUGUACUGCCACCGCUCCGCUGCCUGACGAAGCAAGUAUCACCGUGGUUCUGCUCGCUUUCCGGUCACCUCAAAUCUAUUCCUCAAAGCCAGGCACUGUUCCUUGUUUCUUCGGUCCAUUGAUUUUCUGUUUCCGGUCAGCAAUUCACUCUAUUCAGUAAUCAUUCUGAUUGAGUACAUCUCCUCCCACUCAUCUCUCAGUUAUAUAUAUGUAUGUAUAUGUGUGAAUUGUUGGGAUUGUGCCGAGAUUGAAUCAGUGGGCUUAUUUCAAAUUAGUUAAUAUAUACACAAGCAAUCACAGGGAUAUGGGUUAUUGCUAAUUGUUAUAUGUUAGCUAAAGCCAAGGUUUAGGAAUGUUGAUAUGAUUGCAAAUCGGUUGAAUAUUACUGUUCAAUCAGCCUGUGAGGCUAUGGAGAUGAGUGUUUAAUUGGUUUGAAUAUCAAUAUAUAAGUAAAAUCACGUUAAUUCUAUUCAAAAGGAUUGUGAGUAAUUAGUUAAGUAAUUUAUGAAUUCUAGAUUAUGUGGGAUUGUUUGUCCUUAAGUGCAUACUUGUUUAUGUUUAUAUGUGAAUAGCUAUUAAGUUGAAUUGGUUUUGUUUAGUCUUUAAUUGAGUAACAACAUGUGGGUAUUUAAAAACUAGCCUUCUCUAAAAGAAACUGAAAUACUGGUAUAUGUGUAGAUAUGUUGAAAAGAUGGUAUUUUAAAUAUUUAGAUUAAAUCAUAUGGUGUCCCUGUGUAAUAUUGGCAUAUGUUAUGAUUUGAAAAUCUAAAAUAUUUAAAGCUUAGUUUAUAAACAGUUAAGUACUUUGAAAAAGAUUAGUUUAUUCUGAUUUUGUACAACUAAAUUGGGAACUAAAUUAAAAAGAGUUACUAAACUAAAUUGGGAACUAAACUAAAAAGGUAAAUGGGAGCAUACAAUGAAUUUGAUUUAAACUUGGUUUUGUUAUAAGUUCAGCUUGUGAGAUUAAGCAGCCAAGCUUUAAGGUAAAAAAAUCAGAGAUAUUGGCACUUUUGUCUAAAGUAUUUUUAUUAUUGAGAUUAUACGAGGAUUAAGAAGGUUGAGGUUUGAUUAUAUACUUAUAUAUGCCUCGAUUUUCGGGUAUAUGUGAUUAUAUAAUUAAAACCUUUAUUUUCUUAUAGUAUGCAGUUGAUGAUUUUGGGAUUUGGACUAUCGAUAUUGACUAUACGAGGAUUAAGGAAUUUAAGUUCUUAGUUAUGUAUAUAAAUAUACUUCGACUUUCUUGAGGUAUAUCUGUAUAUAUGAUUAAAAAGUUUGUUCCUUAUAGUAUAAAGUGAUAUAUGGAUUACUAAAGUUAUAAUUAUGUUCGGAGUAUUGUUAGUCGACGGUUGUUGAGUUGUUGGGUUGUAAACUUGUUGGAAUGAUUAUUGGCACUAGACUAAAAAACAGGUGGAUAGUCCGAUAAAUAGAGGAAAUGCUGCCGAAUUUUCGUUAGAAAUUAUAUAUAUUCUACUUGUUAAAGAAUAUUAAAUAUUUAAGAAUAACGCGACAUUGUUAACUGAAACAUGUUAUAUGUUAGCUUAUCGAUAUUGACUUUUAAUAGUUAUAAAAGUUAAUUGUUCAACUAUGUGCUAUGUGUUUAUCUGACUAUGUAGUAUGUAUAUGGAUUUACGGAGGGUAGCUAAUUGCGGAUUUUAAACGUUAUUCGAUAUUAGUGUACUCCGUCGGCAUCGACAACUGAAGUACUGUGUUACUCUUGGAGAAUAAACAAAGACUUGUAUAUCAAGGACAUUCAGAACUAGUUGAAUAGCUUUGCGAAUUGAAUCAGCAAUAGUUCCUUAAGACGAAGCUGUGCUGUGGGAUAGUCUGGUAGAAUUUAGUUGGUGUGAAAAUCAGCAGAACUGAGGCAAGUAUUCCUAUCUUCACUUAUUGUUCAAGUGAUAUUUUCUUUAAACCCUUAUGCAAGUAAUUCUAUUCUCAACUUGUAAUUACUGCAAGUCUUCCUAUUCAAACUCAAUAUUUAGAAGCAAGUGCUCCUUUCUUAAAACUUUUACUUAUUGCAAAUGCAUGACUUNCUAUUCAAAAGGAUUGUGAGUAAUUAGUUAAGUAAUUUAUGAAUUCUAGAUUAUGUGGGAUUGUUUGUCCUUAAGUGCAUACUUGUUUAUGUUUAUAUGUGAAUAGCUAUUAAGUUGAAUUGGUUUUGUUUAGUCUUUAAUUGAGUAACAACAUGUGGGUAUUUAAAAACUAGCCUUCUCUAAAAGAAACUGAAAUACUGGUAUAUGUGUAGAUAUGUUGAAAAGAUGGUAUUUUAAAUAUUUAGAUUAAAUCAUAUGGUGUCCCUGUGUAAUAUUGGCAUAUGUUAUGAUUUGAAAAUCUAAAAUAUUUAAAGCUUAGUUUAUAAACAGUUAAGUACUUUGAAAAAGAUUAGUUUAUUCUGAUUUUGUACAACUAAAUUGGGAACUAAAUUAAAAAGAGUUACUAAACUAAAUUGGGAACUAAACUAAAAAGGUAAAUGGGAGCAUACAAUGAAUUUGAUUUAAACUUGGUUUUGUUAUAAGUUCAGCUUGUGAGAUUAAGCAGCCAAGCUUUAAGGUAAAAAAAUCAGAGAUAUUGGCACUUUUGUCUAAAGUAUUUUUAUUAUUGAGAUUAUACGAGGAUUAAGAAGGUUGAGGUUUGAUUAUAUACUUAUAUAUGCCUCGAUUUUCGGGUAUAUGUGAUUAUAUAAUUAAAACCUUUAUUUUCUUAUAGUAUGCAGUUGAUGAUUUUGGGAUUUGGACUAUCGAUAUUGACUAUACGAGGAUUAAGGAAUUUAAGUUCUUAGUUAUGUAUAUAAAUAUACUUCGACUUUCUUGAG